rnacentral:rRNA from 1 species
AGAGUUUGAUCAUGGCUCAGAUUGAACGCUGGCGGCAUGCCUUACACAUGCAAGUCGAACGGCAGCACGGGGGCAACCCUGGUGGCGAGCGGCGAACGGGUGAGUAAUAUAUCGGAACAUGUCCUGUAGCGGGGGAUAACCUAUCGAAAGAUGGACUAAUACCGCAUACGAUCUAUGGAUGAAAGCGGAGGACCGCAAGGCUUCGCACUAUAGGAGUGGCCGAUAUCGGAUUAGCUAGUUGGCGGGGUAAAAGCCCACCAAGGCGACGAUCCGUAGCUGGUCUGAGAGGAUGAUCAGCCACACUGGAACUGAGACACGGUCCAGACUCCUACGGGAGGCAGCAGUGGGGAAUUUUGGACAAUGGGCGCAAGCCUGAUCCAGCCAUGCCGCGUGAGUGAAGAAGGCCUUCGGGUUGUAAAGCUCUUUCGGCAGGAACGAAAUGGUUCGUGCUAAUACCACGGACUGAUGACGGUACCUGAAGAAGAAGCACCGGCUAACUACGUGCCAGCAGCCGCGGUAAUACGUAGGGUGCAGGCGUUAAUCGGAAUUACUGGGCGUAAAGCGUGCGCAGGCGGUUUCUUAAGUCAGAUGUGAAAGCCCCGGGCUUAACCUGGGAACUGCGUUUGAAACUGGGAGACUCGAGUGUAGCAGAGGGGGGUGGAAUUCCACGUAGCAGUGAAAUGCGUAGAUAUGUGGAGGAACACCGAUGGCGAAGGCAGCCCCCUGGGUUAACACUGACGCUCAUGCACGAAAGCGUGGGGAGCAAACAGGAUUAGAUACCCUAGUAGUCC